AGAGAUAUAGCUUAGUGGUAAAGCACUUGCCUAGUGUGCAUGAUGACCUGGGUUCAAUCCUCAGGACCUCCC
rnacentral:tRNA from 1 species